AACAGAUUGCAGGAGCUUGAGACCGAUGCAAAGAAAACUGGCAUGGGGUGGAACGAGCUGGAGGAGACUGUCCUGAACAGAGUGCGAAGGAGAGGAGUCGUCCAUGGCCUGUGCACCAUGGCCUUAGGACCUACCUAGGUGCAUGAGGUUAGACUGGGUGGCUAUGCGCUGGUUGAUCUGGCCUUCCAGCCUAGAUGAGUGGGUCAUGUCCUGACGGAACUGCUCCGCCCUUAACCUCUCCACCUGCACCGGGAGCUCCCCAUCACUUCCUGUGACAACAGGAACAGCUCCACCAUGUCCUUGGGUGUCGUUGUGACCCCCAGUGCCGGGUCCCCUGUUGCAUGUGUCCAUGCCUCUUUCCUGGCAGGGCGGGACGGGAGGGAGUUAUGGACUGAGGUUGAGGAGAGAGAGGGAGAGACCGACCUUCGUUCCCCAGAGUCGGAGCUCGAACGCUGUGGUGCUAUCUGGCUCUGCCCCUUCUCUGGAGGAGCUGUCCUUUCCACUUGGAUCUUACUGAAACUCUCACUGUCCAACGUAGC
ensembl:lncRNA